GUUUUCUAAUGGAAGAAAUUUUCCAUCUCUUGGCCAGGCACAGUGGCUCAUGCCUGUAAUCCCUGCACUUUGGGAGGCUGAGGCAGGAGGGUCAGGAGUUUUAGACCAGCUUGGCCAACAUAGUGACACAGUCCUUACUGAAAAAAAAAUUUAAAAAAAAAAGCCUGGCAUGGUGGCUCACACCAGUAAUCCCAGCUACUUGGGAGGCUGAGGCAGGAGAUUCACUUGAACCAAAGGAGGUGAGGUUGUAGUGAGCCAAGAUCGUGCCACGGCACUCCACCCUGGGCAACAGAGGAGACUCUGUCUCAAAAAAAAAAAAAAAAGGAAUUUUCUGUCUCCCUAUUUAUUUAUUCAGGCAGUUAUAUCAGUGUGGACUCAGUUUCUUACUAUAUUUAAUGUAUAUUCUCACUAGACAUUACCUGUUAUUAUCAUCAUUUUUAUUUUGAUAUUGUUUAUCACAAAUAUGAUCAUUAGGAUCUCCUUCAAACUGGCUCCUGUAUUUCUUUGACAGGGCUGCAUAAUUGUUUGAGCACUUCCUUCUUACUUUCUAGCACAAUGAGACAUUCUAGGCUCCCCUUAUAUUGUCCCAGGCUAGGGUGCAGUGGCAUGUUCAUGGCUCACUGCAGCCUCAACCUCCCUGGGCUCAGGUGAUCCUCCCACCUCAGCCUCCCAAGUAGCUGAGACCACAGGCAUGUGCCACCAUGCCUGGGUAAUUUUUGUAUUUUUUGUAGAAGUGGAGUUUUGCCAUGUUGCCCAGACUGGUCUCCAACGCCCGGGCUCAAGUGAUCCACCUGCCUCGGCCUCCCAAAGUGCUGGGAAUACAGGUAUUACGGAAUUCCCCUCCAUAAAGUUUAUGUCAAUUUGCAAUCCUUUUCGCAACGUGUGAGAGUGACUAUUUCCUUACGGCCUCAUUCAACAAAGUGAGUUGCUAACUUCUUAAGUUUUUGCCAUUCUGAUAGGUGAGAAAUGGUAUCUCAAUGUGGUUUAUUAUUAUUGUCAUUAUCAUCAUUUAAUUUACAUGUAAUAAAAUUGAACUUUUUUGAUGUACUUUUAUGAGUUUUAACACAUCUUACAGAUUUUUAUUUUAUUUUUGAGACAGGGUCUGCCUCUGUCACCUUGUGACCCACCAUGUUGGCCAAGCUGGUCUUAAACUCCUGACCUCAAGUGAUCUGUCCAUCUGUACCUCCCAAAGUGCUGGGAUUAUAGACGUGAGUCACUGUGCCCAGCCUUAAUUAUUUAUAGUAUGUAUUACUUUGUGUUGUGGUACAAUAUAUAUAAAACAUAGAAUUUACCCCUUUAACGAUAUUUAAUAUACAGUUCAGUGUCAUUAAGUACAUUCACAUUGUUGUGCAGCCAUAACCACCCUCCAUCUCCAGAUCAUUUUUAUCUUCCCAAACCGAAACUCUGAACCCGUUAAACAGAAACUCACCAGCAUUUUACUUUCUGUCGCUAUGACCUUAACUACCCUAGGUAUCCAUAUAAGUGGAAAUAUACGGUUUUUGCCUUUUUUUUUUUUUUUUGAGAUGGAGUCUCACUUUUUUGUUGUUGUUGUUUAGUUACCCAGGCUAAAGUGCAGUGGUGCAAUCUGGGCUCAGUCUCUUGAGUAGCUGGGAUUACGGGUGUAUACAACAUGCCUGGCUGAUUUUUAUA
rnacentral:lncRNA from 1 species